rnacentral:rRNA from 1 species
CCUACGGGAGGCACCAGUAGGGAAUCUUCGGCAAUGGACGAAAGUCUGACCGAGCAACGCCGCGUGAGUGAAGAAGAUUUUCGGAUCGUAAAACUCUGUUGUUAGAGAAGAACAAGUAGGAGAGUAACUGCUCUUACCUUGACGGUAUCUAACCAGAAAGCCACGGCUAACUACGUGCCAGCAGCCGCGGUAAUACGUAGGUGGCAAGCGUUGUCCGGAUCUAUUGGGCGUAAAGCAAGCGCAGGCGGUCUUUUAAGUCUGAUGUGAAAGCCCUCGGCUCAACCGAGGAAGGUCAUUGGAAACUGGAGGACUUGAGUGCAGAAGAGGAGAGUGGAAUCCAUGUGUAGCGGUGAAAUGCGUAGAUAUAUGGAGGAACACCAGUGGGGAAGGCGACUCUCUGGUCUGUAACUGACGCUGAGGCUCGAAAGCGUGGGGAGCGAACAGGAUUAGAUACCCCAGUAGUC